GUUUGUUUCGUCAACUUCCCUGUUCGUCACUACCCUCAUCUGAGUUCAGCCUAGUUACCCUGCUCUUAGUUUAAGUUUUCUAGUUGGAUCUGGACACCUGGGACAACAUUCUUCUAUACUCUGCCUGCCUUCCAGGUUCUGAUGAUGAGGCUGCCUCUUCCAUCUUCACAGACAUGAUUGCGCGACACAAGUUGUUAUUCCCUUGACUGGCCUGGGCCUGAUUCAAAGGCAAGGCGGCACUCGGGGUGGCAAAAGGAGCCCCGAUCAAUGUCAAGGAGAAGAAAGUGGUCUGGACUUGCCACAGUGGAAGCACCAUGCUGCUACUUUCUAUCCCUCUCCACCAAAAAAAAAAUCGAGAUUCAAUCAUUUUCCCAGAGAGAAAAUGCGUCCUGCUUUCUGCAGGCUGUGAAUAGGCUGUGACUGGUUACAACACAAAGGGUUGAGGGCACAGGCAAUGACUGCAUGCCACCCGGCGGCAUCUACAGCAGCCAACUGCCUCGCCGUUUGAUUUUGGGAGCGCAGUUGCUAUGGUGACCACACUAUUUGAUUGUGGACGAGAUAAUUUGCAUGAAGCAUUUGCCUGAUUCUGGAAAGAGGAUCGUUUAAAGCAAAAGCAUGGGACACAAAUGGCCUUUUGUGCAGCCGGAGGAAAGCCCAAAUGUACAUACUGAUAUUACUGCUAGCUCACGUUUGUUUUUGACAUGUGAGUCAAAGUUUGAUGAUUUUGUAAGUCAUGUCAACAUGAGCUUUCUUUUCAGGUCCUUUUAUUUCUAGCCCGGCUUAGAAACGUCUGAUGUCUCUGACAGGGGAGGGGAUUAAAACAAGGAAUGUGACAGUUCAAGGCCAUGUAAUUCACACCUCUGUGUGACUUCACUUCAGUCAAUUGUUGUUAAUCUGUCUUUCAAACUCUUGAAUGGGCUUUACUAUUUGCCCAAACUCGUUUGGCUAGAGAUUAUCCCCACUGCUUGUGCACCUUUUUGCUAACACGCUUUUUCCUUCUGCUAAAUUUCCCAUUAAUAUCCUUUGAUACACCACUCUGACUAGCCAUUUUCUGUAGCAAUCAACUUUUUAUAGUAGCAUACCCUUUCUCAUGACUGUGUUAGCCAUAAUAAUUUAAUAUGUAAUAUUUACAUUUUCUGAGAAAGUUUCCCUUUUUAUUAGCUGUAAGCCAAAAUAACCAGGAUUAAAAUAAAUGAAUGCUUGGAAUA